rnacentral:tRNA from 1 species
GGCCGGUUGGCCCAAUGGCAAGGCGUCUGACUACGACUCAAGUUCUCAAUCGAGAUCAAGGAUAGUGAAAUCAGGAGAUUCUGGGUUCGACCCCCAGGCUGGUCA